UCUUUCUCUCCCCCUCCCCCAGGUGCGACUCACACACAAGUAAUUGUUGGGGCAGAGCAGGACAGUGGUUGAAUGCUGGAUUGCCACUUCCCACUCUACCCUCGCCGGCGGUUGAUGUUGGUGCCCUGGCUGGCACACAAGGAUUCAGAGAGGGGCGGUGCCUGCGGCCACAAUGAAUAUGCAGCAGGCAGUCCCCGAGGGAGAGGAGGGGCCGGAUGCUUGGCACCACCAAUUUAUUUUCGGGGUCGGACCCAAUGCUCUUUACAUGACCAACCCACUGGAUGUAGUAAACAAGGAGGAGUUGCAUCAGUGACUCUGCAGUGAAUCUGUGUUGCUGAUUCAUCGUGAGGAUGUACUGCAGAGAUUGACAGCUGACGCCUCUCUGUCUAGAUAAUCAUGUCGAUCCAUGAUGGAAAGCCCUGGAUGAGGAGGGUCAAGUGAAGCUGGUGAUCUGUGAGGAAGACUGUGAUGAUGAUCUGCCUAGGAUGAGCCACGUUGUGAUCCCCGCAGCGUAUAGUUCUGGGGUGACGUUCUUCACCAUCAGAGACUCAGACUCAGGGCAGGAGCUUCUCCAUGCUCCUGAACUCCCUUUGCUUUGAAUGACUGGACAGUAGAACAAAUGUUGCAGGUUUUAGACAAUGCAUCACUGAACCUCCCUCUUCAGUGUCAUGCAUUCAGUGUAAUAAAACAUUCGCACAGUUGCAGAUAGAAAUACCAUGAAUAUACCAUGAAUAAAACUUUCCACAGCGUUGGACCCAGCUAAAUCUGUAUUUGUCUAGGAAGAUGUGUUGGUUUUCGCCAAUGAAUGUGAUCUAAGUUGUGUUGGGUUGAAACCAGGCUUACUGCAGAAGGUCAGUCAAGCCUAAUAUAAUACUCUGUCUGGUGUGCAAAUACAUGUUAGUUAUUUUGAAGAUGCUCUUCAAACCAGCAACCUCAUUCUUACUCAAUACUCUAAACACUAGAACCACCCUUAAUGCCAGAUGAGCCCAAUCAAUGUGUUGUUGUGCUUGGGAAAGUGUUGCUGUGCCCAUCUAGC